GACGAACGCUGGCGGCGCGCCUAACACAUGCAAGUCGAACGAGCGAGAGAGAGCUUGCUUUCUCGAGCGAGUGGCGAACGGGUGAGUAACGCGUGAGGAACCUGCCUCAAAGAGGGAGACAACAGUUGGAAACGACUGCUAAUACCGCAUAAGCCCACGGCUCGGCAUCGAGCAGAGGGAAAAGGAGCAAUCCGCUUUGAGAUGGCCUCGCGUCCGAUUAGCUAGUUGGUGAGGUAACGGCCCACCAAGGCGACGAUCGGUAGCCGGACUGAGAGGUUGAACGGCCACAUUGGGACUGAGACACGGCCCAGACUCCUACGGGAGGCAGCAGUGGGGAAUAUUGCACAAUGGGGGAAACCCUGAUGCAGCGACGCCGCGUGGAGGAAGAAGGUCUUCGGAUUGUAAACUCCUGUUGUUGGGGAAGAUAAUGACGGUACCCAACAAGGAAGUGACGGCUAACUACGUGCCAGCAGCCGCGGUAAAACGUAGGUCACAAGCGUUGUCCGGAAUUACUGGGUGUAAAGGGAGCGCAGGCGGGAAGACAAGUUGGAAGUGAAAUCUAUGGGCUCAACCCAUAAACUGCUUUCAAAACUGUCUUUCUUGAGUAGUGCAGAGGUAGGCGGAAUUCCCGGUGUAGCGGUGGAAUGCGUAGAUAUCGGGAGGAACACCAGUGGCGAAGGCGGCCUACUGGGCACCAACUGACGCUGAGGCUCGAAAGUGUGGGUAGCAAACAGGAUUAGAUACCCUGGUAGUCCACACCGUAAACGAUGAUUACUAGGUGUUGGAGGAUUGACCCCUUCAGUGCCGCAGUUAACACAAUAAGUAAUCCACCUGGGGAGUACGACCGCAAGGUUGAAACUCAAAGGAAUUGACGGGGGCCCGCACAAGCAGUGGAGUAUGUGGUUUAAUUCGACGCAACGCGAAGAACCUUACCAAGUCUUGACAUCCCUUGACAGACAUAGAAAUAUGUUUUCUCUUCGGAGCAAGGAGACAGGUGGUGCAUGGUUGUCGUCAGCUCGUGUCGUGAGAUGUUGGGUUAAGUCCCGCAACGAGCGCAACCCUUAUGGUCAGUUACUACGCAAGAGGACUCUGGCCAGACUGCCGUUGACAAAACGGAGGAAGGUGGGGAUGACGUCAAAUCAUCAUGCCCUUUAUGACUUGGGCUACACACGUACUACAAUGGCGUUAAACAAAGAGAAGCAAGACCGCGAGGUGGAGCAAAACUCAGAAACAACGUCCCAGUUCGGACUGCAGGCUGCAACUCGCCUGCACGAAGUCGGAAUUGCUAGUAAUCGUGGAUCAGCAUGCCACGGUGAAUACGUUCCCGGGCCUU
rnacentral:rRNA from 1 species